rnacentral:rRNA from 1 species
ACGCUCGACACCUACGAGGCAGCAGUGGGGAAUAUUGCACAAUGGGGGAAACCCUGAUGCAGCGACGCCGCGUGAGUGAAGAAGUAUUUCGGUAUGUAAAGCUCUAUCAGCAGGGAAGAAGAUGACGGUACCUGAGUAAGAAGCCCCGGCUAACUACGUGCCAACAGCCGCGGUAAUCUGAGCGGGCUGGCAAGGC